rnacentral:rRNA from 1 species
CAAGUCGUACGAGUGUCAUACGCUUGAUGAUCGGUGCUUGCACCGAGAUUCAACAUGGGAACGAGUGGCGGACGGGUGAGUAACACGUGGGUAACCUGCCCUUAAGUGGGGGAUAACAUUUGGAAACAGAUGCUAAUACCGCAUAGAUCCAAGAACCGCAUGGUUCUUGGCUGAAAGAUGGCGUAAGCUAUCGCUUUUGGAUGGACCCGCGGCGUAUUAGCUAGUUGGUGAGGUAAUGGCUCACCAAGGCGAUGAUACGUAGCCGAACUGAGAGGUUGAUCGGCCACAUUGGGACUGAGACACGGCCCAAACUCCUACGGGAGGCAGCAGUAGGGAAUCUUCCACAAUGGACGCAAGUCUGAUGGAGCAACGCCGCGUGAGUGAAGAAGGCUUUCGGGUCGUAAAACUCUGUUGUUGGAGAAGAAUGGUCGGCAGAGUAACUGUUGUCGGCGUGACGGUAUCCAACCAGAAAGCCACGGCUAACUACGUGCCAGCAGCCGCGGUAAUACGUAGGUGGCAAGCGUUAUCCGGAUUUAUUGGGCGUAAAGCGAGCGCAGGCGGUUUUUUAAGUCUGAUGUGAAAGCCCUCGGCUUAACCGAGGAAGCGCAUCGGAAACUGGGAAACUUGAGUGCAGAAGAGGACAGUGGAACUCCAUGUGGAGUAGCGGUGAAAUGCGUAGAUAUAUGGAAGAACACCAGUGGCGAAGGCGGUGGCUGGUCUGUAACUGACGCUGAGGCUCGAAAGCAUGGGUAGCGAACAGGAUUAGAUACCCUGGUAGUCCAUGCCGUAAACGAUGAAUGCUAGGUGUUGGA